GACGAACGCUGGCGGCGUGCCUAACACAUGCAAGUCGAGCGGAGUCGAUCGACGGAAGCCUUCGGGCGGAAGAUGGUUGACUUAGCGGCGGAUGGGUGAGUAACGCGUGGGCAACCUGCCUCGAAGACCGGGAUAACAGCCCGAAAGGGCUGCUAAUACCGGAUGUGGUCAAGGAUCCGCAUGGAUUUUUGAUUAAAGGGGAAACCCGUUUCGAGAUGGGCCCGCGUCCUAUCAGCUAGUUGGUGAGGUAAAAGCUCACCAAGGCGACGACGGGUAGCCGGCCUGAGAGGGUGACCGGCCACACUGGAACUGAGACACGGUCCAGACUCCUACGGGAGGCAGCAGUGGGGAAUAUUGGGCAAUGGGCGCAAGCCUGACCCAGCAACGCCGCGUGAGGGAAGAAGGCUUUCGGGUUGUAAACCUCUGUCCUUGGUGACGAAAAAAAUGACGGUAGCCAAGGAGGAAGCCCCGGCUAACUACGUG
rnacentral:rRNA from 1 species